AUGAUAUUGUAUUCUGCGGACGAUAGGUGGCACAAUCUGCGCCAUCUCUUAUUUGUGAAGUAUGUAUGGAACAACUGCACUGACACUUCUGUCAGAAGGUUCACCAUGAAGAAAAUUCAGGUGCUUUACUGCAAUAUAUGCAAGAGAAUUUUCCGUUCUUCCCGUGAGAUCAUCAUUGCCUUCAUCCAGUUUCUAUGUUCCUUCAGUUGGGAAGGAGGAACAAUGCGCUUACUGUGGCCUGCUUCUUCCUAUGUGGCAAACCAGGCAUCCCUCCCAUUCCACGCUAAGCUCCAUGAAUAG
rnacentral:rRNA from 1 species